GCAAGGUUGGCCGAGUGGUCUUAAGGCGGUUGACUUAAGUAAGCAUUACGUAAUCAACUGGACGUCAGUCCGCGUGGGUUCGAACCCCACACCUUGCA